rnacentral:rRNA from 1 species
AGAGUUUGAUCAUGGCUCAGGAUGAACGCUGGCGGUAUGCUUAACACAUGCAAGUCGAACGGAACUCUUUGGAGUUUAGUGGCGGACGGGUGAGUAACGCGUGAGAAUCGGCCCCCAGGUUGGGGACAACCACUGGAAACGGUGGCUAAUACCGAAUAAGCCGAAAGGUGAAAGAUUAAUUGCCUGGGGAAGAGCUCGCGUCUGAUUAGCUAGUUGGUGGGGUAAAGGCCUACCAAGGCACCGAUCAGUAACUGGUCUGAGAGGAUGGCCAGUCACACUGGGACUGAGACACGGCCCAGACUCCUACGGGAGGCAGCAGUGGGGAAUUUUCCGCAAUGGGCGAAAGCCUGACGGAGCAAUACCGCGUGGGGGAGGAAGGCUCUUGGGUCGUAAACCUCUUUUCUCAGGGAAGAACAAAAUGACGGUACCUGAGGAAUCAGCAUCGGCUAACUCCGUGCCAGCAGCCGCGGUAAUACGGAGGAUGCAAGCGUUAUCCGGAAUGAUUGGGCGUAAAGCGUCCGCAGGUGGCAGUGUAAGUCUGCUGUCAAAGGUCAGGGCUCAACCCUGAACAGGCAGUGGAAACUACACAGCUAGAGUGCGGUGGGGGCAGAGGGAAUUCCCAGUGUAGCGGUGAAAUGCGUAGAGAUUGGGAAGAACACCGGUGGCGAAAGCGCUCUGCUAGGCCGCAACUGACACUCAUGGACGAAAGCUAGGGGAGCGAAUGGGAUUAGAUACCCCAGUAGUCC